rnacentral:rRNA from 1 species
CAAGUCGAACGGCAGCACGGGAGCAAUCCUGGUGGCGAGUGGCGAACGGGUGAGUAAUAUAUCGGAACGUGCCCAGUCGUGGGGGAUAACUACUCGAAAGAGUGGCUAAUACCGCAUACGAUCUACGGAUGAAAGCGGGGGACCUUAGGGCCUCGCGCGAUUGGAGCGGCCGAUAUCAGAUUAGGUAGUUGGUAGGGUAAAAGCCUACCAAGCCUGCGAUCUGUAGCUGGUCUGAGAGGACGACCAGCCACACUGGAACUGAGACACGGUCCAGACUCCUACGGGAGGCAGCAGUGGGGAAUUUUGGACAAUGGGCGAAAGCCUGAUCCAGCAAUGCCGCGUGCAGGACGGAGGCCUUCGGGUUGUAAACUGCUUUUGUACGGAACGAAAAGGUAGCUCCUAAUACGAGCUGCUGAUGACGGUACCGUAAGAAUAAGCACCGGCUAACUACGUGCCAGCAGCCGCGGUAAUACGUAGGGUGCGAGCGUUAAUCGGAAUUACUGGGCGUAAAGCGUGCGCAGGCGGUUUUGUAAGAUAGAUGUGAAAUCCCCGGGCUCAACCUGGGAACUGCAUAUAUGACUGCAAAGCUAGAGUACGGUAGAGGGGGAUGGAAUUCCGCGUGUAGCAGUGAAAUGCGUAGAUAUGCGGAGGAACACCGAUGGCGAAGGCAAUCCCCUGGACCUGUACUGACGCUCAUGCACGAAAGCGUGGGGAGCAAACAGGAUUAGAUACCCUGGUAGUCCACGCCCUAAACGAUGUCAACUGGUUGUUGGGUCUUUACUGACUCAGUAACGUAGCUAACGCGUGAAGUUGACCGCCUGGGGAGUACGGCCGCAAGGUUGAAACUCAAAGAAAUUGACGG